GACAGAGGCCUCAAGCGUUUAGGCGGAAUCACUGGGCUUAAAGCGUGUGUAGGCGGAUCGUUAAGUGUCUUGUGAAAUCCCCGGGCUCAACCCGGGAACUGCGUCCGAUACUGACAGGCUUGAAUCCGGGAGAGGGAUGUGGAAUUCCAGGUGUAGCGGUGAAAUGCGUAGAUAUCUGGAGGAACACCGGUGGCGAAGGCGGCAUCCUGGACCGGUAUUGACGCUGAUGCGCGAAAAGCCAGGGGAGCAAACGGG
rnacentral:rRNA from 1 species